AAACUAACAAGGAUUCCCCUAGUAACUGCGAGUGAAGCGGGAAAAGCUCAAAUUUAAAAUCUGGCGGUCUUUGGCUGUCCGAGUUGUAAUCUAGAGAAGUGUUACCCGCGUCGGACCGUGUACAAGUCUCCUGGAAUGGAGCGUCAUAGAGGGUGAGAAUCCCGUCUUUGACACGGACUACCGAGGCUUUGUGGUGCGCUCUCAAAGAGUCGAGUUGUUUGGGAAUGCAGCUCAAAAUGGGUGGUAAAUUCCAUCUAAAGCUAAAUAUUGGCGAGAGACCGAUAGCGAACAAGUACCGUGAGGGAAAGAUGAAAAGAACUUUGGAAAGAGAGUUAAACAGUACGUGAAAUUGCUGAAAGGGAAACGCUUGAAGUCAGUCGCGUUGUCCGGGAAUCAGCCUUCCUUCUGGUUGGUGUACUUCCUGGUUGACGGGCCAGCAUCAGUUUUGACCGGUGGAAAAAGUUCAAGGGAAUGUGGCACCUCCGGGUGUGUUAUAGCCCUUGUUCGUAUACAUCGGUUGGGACUGAGGAACUCAGCACGCCGCAAGGCCGGGAUUCGUCCACGUUCGUGCUUAGGAUGCUGGCAUAAUGGCUUUAAUCGAC
rnacentral:rRNA from 1 species